rnacentral:rRNA from 1 species
CGUGGGCAAUCUGCCCUAAAGACUGGGAUACCACUUGGAAACAGGUGCUAAUACCGGAUAACAACAUGAAUCGCAUGAUUCAAGUUUGAAAGGCGGCGUAAGCUGUCACUUUAGGAUGAGCCCGCGGCGCAUUAGCUAGUUGGUGGGGUAAAGGCCUACCAAGGCAAUGAUGCGUAGCCGAGUUGAGAGACUGAUCGGCCACAUUGGGACUGAGACACGGCCCAAACUCCUACGGGAGGCAGCAGUAGGGAAUCUUCCACAAUGGACGCAAGUCUGAUGGAGCAACGCCGCGUGAGUGAAGAAGGUUUUCGGAUCGUAAAGCUCUGUUGUUGGUGAAGAAGGAUAGAGGCAGUAACUGGUCUUUAUUUGACGGUAAUCAACCAGAAAGUCACGGCUAACUACGUGCCAGCAGCCGCGGUAAUACGUAGGUGGCAAGCGUUGUCCGGAUUUAUUGGGCGUAAAGCGAGCGCAGGCGGAAUGAUAAGUCUGAUGUGAAAGCCCACGGCUCAACCGUGGAACUGCAUCGGAAACUGUCAUUCUUGAGUGCAGAAGAGGAGAGUGGAAUUCCAUGUGUAGCGGUGGAAUGCGUAGAUAUAUGGAAGAACACCAGUGGCGAAGGCGGCUCUCUGGUCUGCAACUGACGCUGAGGCUCGAAAGCAUGGGUAGCGAACAGGAUUAGAUACCCUGGUAGUCCAUGCCGU